rnacentral:rRNA from 1 species
UACGUAGGGGGCAAGCGUUGUCCGGAAUUAUUGGGCGUAAAGAGCGUGUAGGCGGUCCGGUAAGUCAGCUGUGAAAGUCAAGGGCUCAACCCUUGAAUGCCGGUUGAUACUGUCGGGCUAGAGUCCGGAAGAGGAAAGCGGAAUUCCACGUGUAGCGGUGAAAUGCGUAGAGAUGUGGAGGAACACCAGUGGCGAAGGCGGCUUUCUGGUCUGUAACUGACGCUGAGGCGCGAAAGCGUGGGGAGCAAACAGG